rnacentral:rRNA from 1 species
ACGCUUGAAGUCAGUCGCGUUGUCCAGGGAUCAACCUUGCUUUUGCUUGGUGCACUUUCUGGUUUGACGGGUCAGCAUCAAUUUUGACCGUUGGAAAAAGGCUGAGGGAAUGUGGCAUCUUCGGAUGUGUUAUAGCCCUUGGUCACAUACAAUGGUUGGGAUUGAGGAACUCAGCAUGCCGCAAGGCCGGGUUUUAAACCACGUACGUGCUUAGGAUGCUGGCAAUAUGGCUUUAAUCGACCCGUCUUGAAACACGGACCAAGGAGUC